GACGAACCGUGCGAACGUUGUUCGGAUUCACUGGGCUUAAAGGGCGCGUAGGCGGGCUUGCAAGUCAGGGGUGAAAUCCUCCGGCUCAACCGGAGAACAGCCUUUGAUACUGCGAGCCUCGAGGAAGGUAGGGGCAUGUGGAACUUCCGGUGGAGCGGUGAAAUGCGUAGAUAUCGGAAGGAACGCCGGUGGCGAAAGCGACGUGCUGGACCUUUUCUGACGCUGAGGCGCGAAAGCCAGGGGAGCAAACGGG
rnacentral:rRNA from 1 species